rnacentral:lncRNA from 1 species
UUUAUUUUCUUUUUCAACCUUCACUACUGCUUCUGUUUUUUCUCUAUUUUCUCAGAUUUUAUCAUCCUUCAUCUCAAUCAUAACAUAUUCUUCAUUUAAAUCAUAGAUGAUGAUGGUGCCAUGGUAACGUAGAAAACGGCGACAGUGACAUAAACACCGACGACAUCCUUCACGACGGCAACGAUAACGGUGUCAUAGACGAUGGCAACGGUGAAAAAGACAAAGACGUAUGAUGGUUGAGACGUUGGACACAUCUAAACGACGGUGGAGAUACAGUAAACAUCACACGCCUUCCUCGCCUCCGUGUGUUGCAUUAUGCUCUCUUCCUCCCUUCUCUGCCAUCUCCACCACUGUUCUUCGUUGUUUCAACCACCGUUAUCUGACAUCUUAAGAAUUUUUGCUACCGUUCUAUGGCAUCUCAUCCACUAUUUUCCGUUCUGAUUUACAUCCUCAUGUUCAUUUUUAAAUUAUUAUUGGUCAUCUGAGGGAGGAAAUAGAGGUGGAGAGGAAGUUAAUGGACUCAUGUACGUAUUGUUGAUAUUUUUUGGAUGAUAGAUAGCUUAAGAAGUGAAAAUGAGAAAUGUUGUUGAGAUGUGUAUGGACUGACAAGCCGAGGAUGAUUCUUCAUGUACAUGUGGGUAUCGGACUCUAGUGUUCAUGUGGACAAGGAAACUCGGAAGUACAUGUGGAUAUCGAAUUUUGGUGUACAUGUAUAAAUUUAUCUUUAAUUUUUCCAUUGACUUUUAGAUUUUAUUCUGACCCUUGUUAGACAAUGUACAUGUGGAUAUCGAAUUUUCGUGUACAUGUAUAAAUUUAUCUUUAACACAUGAAGUUGUGUUAGAUGAUGUACAUAUAU